rnacentral:rRNA from 1 species
CGCUGGCGGCAUGCCUUACACAUGCAAGUCGAACGGCAGCACGGGUGCUUGCACCUGGUGGCGAGUGGCGAACGGGUGAGUAAUACAUCGGAACAUGUCCUGUAGUGGGGGAUAGCCCGGCGAAAGCCGGAUUAAUACCGCAUACGAUCUACGGAUGAAAGCGGGGGACCUUCGGGCCUCGCGCUAUAGGGUUGGCCGAUGGCUGAUUAGCUAGUUGGUGGGGUAAAGGCCUACCAAGGCGACGAUCAGUAGCUGGUCUGAGAGGACGACCAGCCACACUGGGACUGAGACACGGCCCAGACUCCUACGGGAGGCAGCAGUGGGGAAUUUUGGACAAUGGGCGAAAGCCUGAUCCAGCAAUGCCGCGUGUGUGAAGAAGGCCUUCGGGUUGUAAAGCACUUUUGUCCGGAAAGAAAUCCUUGGCUCUAAUACAGUCGGGGGAUGACGGUACCGGAAGAAUAAGCACCGGCUAACUACGUGCCAGCAGCCGCGGUAAUACGUAGGGUGCGAGCGUUAAUCGGAAUUACUGGGCGUAAAGCGUGCGCAGGCGGUUUGCUAAGACCGAUGUGAAAUCCCCGGGCUCAACCUGGGAACUGCAUUGGUGACUGGCAGGCUAGAGUAUGGCAGAGGGGGGGUAGAAUUCCACGUGUAGCAGUGAAAUGCGUAGAGAUGUGGAGGAAUACCGAUGGCGAAGGCAGCCCCCUGGGCCAAUACUGACGCUCAUGCACGAAAGCGUGGGGAGCAAACAGGAUUAGAUACCCUGGUAGUCCACGCCCUAAACGAUGUCAACUAGUUGUUGGGGAUUCAUUUCCUUAGUAACGUAGCUAACGCGUGAAGUUGACCGCCUGGGGAGUACGGUCGCAAGAUUAAAACUCAAAGGAAUUGACGGGGACCCGCACAAGCGGUGGAUGAUGUGGAUUAAUUCGAUGCAACGCGAAAAACCUUACCUACCCUUGACAUGGUCGGAAUCCCGCUGAGAGGUGGGAGUGCUCGAAAGAGAACCGGCGCACAGGUGCUGCAUGGCUGUCGUCAGCUCGUGUCGUGAGAUGUUGGGUUAAGUCCCGCAACGAGCGCAACCCUUGUCCUUAGUUGCUACGCAAGAGCACUCUAAGGAGACUGCCGGUGACAAACCGGAGGAAGGUGGGGAUGACGUCAAGUCCUCAUGGCCCUUAUGGGUAGGGCUUCACACGUCAUACAAUGGUCGGAACAGAGGGUUGCCAACCCGCGAGGGGGAGCUAAUCCCAGAAAACCGAUCGUAGUCCGGAUUGCACUCUGCAACUCGAGUGCAUGAAGCUGGAAUCGCUAGUAAUCGCGGAUCACGCAUGCCGCGGUGAAUACGUUCCCGGGUCUUGUACUCACCGCCC